rnacentral:rRNA from 1 species
AACGAACGCUGGCGGCAGGCUUAACACAUGCAAGUCGAACGCCCGUAGCAAUACGGGAGUGGCGGACGGGUGAGUAACGCGUGGGAACGUGCCCUGAGGUACGGAAUAACUGCGGGAAACUGCAGCUAAUACCGUAUGAGCCCCGCAAGGGGGAAAGAUUUAUCGCCUUAGGAGCGGCCCGCGUCGGAUUAGCUAGUUGGUGGGGUAACGGCUUACCAAGGCUUCGAUCCGUAGCUGGUCUGAGAGGACGAUCAGCCACACUGGGACUGAGACACGGCCCAGACUCCUACGGGAGGCAGCAGUGGGGAAUCUUGCGCAAUGGGGGCAACCCUGACGCAGCCAUGCCGCGUGAAUGAUGAAGGCCUUAGGGUUGUAAAGUUCUUUUGCCCGUGACGAUGAUGACGGUAACGGGAGAAUAAGCUCCGGCUAACUUCGUGCCAGCCGCCGCUGUAAUAC